AUUGAACGCUGGCGGCAUGCCUUACACAUGCAAGUCGAACGGCAGCGGACCUUCGGGUGCCGGCGAGUGGCGAACGGGUGAGUAAUAUAUCGGAACGUACCUUUCAGUGGGGGAUAACGUAGCGAAAGUUACGCUAAUACCGCAUAUUCUGUGGAGCAAGGAAAGCGAGGGGAUCGCAAGACCUUGCGCUGAUUGAGCGGCCGAUAUCAGAUUAGCUAGUUGGUGAGGUAAAGGCUCACCAAGGCGACGAUCUGUAGCGGGUCUGAGAGGAUGAUCCGCCACACUGGAACUGAGACACGGCCAGACUCCUACGGGAGCAGCAGUGGGGAAUUUGGACAAUGGGCGCAAGCCUGAUCCAGCCAUGCCGNGUAAGUGAAGAAGGCC
rnacentral:rRNA from 1 species